AGGAAUUUUCUUUCCAGAUGCCUUUUCAAAAGCUGCAACCAUCUCCAAAACCGAUGUACCCUUUCCAGUUCCCAAGUUGUAAACUUCACAACCUAUACCAGCCACAUCUAACUUGCGCAAUGCAGCAAUGUGUCCAUCAGCUAAAUCAACAACAUGAAUAUAAUCACGUACUCCGGUUCCAUCUUUUGUUGAAUAGUCGGUUCCAAAGACUGUCAAGGCAGGACGCCUGCCGACAGCAACUUGUUGUACAAAGGGCAUGAGGUUGUUUG
rnacentral:misc_RNA from 1 species